rnacentral:lncRNA from 1 species
GGCAAUUAAGAAUAUUGCUGGUUGGGCACAGUGGCUCAUGCCUGUAAUCCUAGCACUUUGGGAGGCCAAGGCAAGUGGAUCACCAGAGGUCAGGAGUUUGAGAGCAGCCUGACCAAUACAGUGAAACCCCGUCUCUACUAAAAAUACAAAAAUUAGCUGGGCGUGGUGGCAUGGGCCUGUAAUCCCAGCUACUUGGGAGGCUGAGGCAGGAAAAUCGCUUGAACUCGAGAGGCAGAGGUUGCAGCGAGGCGAGAUCACGCCACUGCACUCCAGCCUGAGCAACAGAGAGAGACUUUGUCUCAAAAAAAAAAAAAAGAAAGAAAGAAAUCAUGCCUUCCGCCAUGAUUGUGAGGACUCCCCAGCCAUGUGGAGCUGCCACUCUGGCUACAAUAUGAAGAGCAGAUUGUGGGAGCCAUAGCAAGAUUAGUUAAGAGACACCAGCAAUAGUCCAGGAAGAAAGGAUGGACCCUUCCCUAGGAUGUGGAGAGAAGCUGAUGGAUUUGAAACACAUUUUGGAGGUUUCUGCCAGUGCCAUUGAACCCUGACCCUUUAUGCAAUAUCCAGGGUGAUCUGAGGCUCCCAGCCACCCCUAGCUCCAGAGUCCACACAUUUUGUGGCUCCCACUGAACCCCAGAGAAGACAGAAACUCAAAGGAGACCAGAGAGUUUCUGCAAGCUGGAAAGAUGUCGAAUGGAUGCUGAGGUGGGGAGUGCUAGAAGAUGGGAACAGACACCUGCAAGUUUUUGCCACCAGCACCAACUUGUAGAUUCAAGUUUGAGCCCUCAUUUGCAAAUGUCUGUGUAAAAGACUCAAUCUCCCAACACCUCAACGGGACAUGACUUGGCUGGCAGGACAAAGCAUCCUGAGGAGAAAAGUAGCUUGCCCAGGACUUCACAGGAAACUUACAGGAGCCCUAAAUGGGCCACACUGCUCAGAGGGAGGAGGACUAUGUGGAGAGCAGGGAUCCCACAGCCACACCAAGGCACUGCAGAGGCACUCUAUGUGCUGGAACAGCUGAACCACGAGAGGAGUUCCCUGAAGCUCUUGCCUCUGGCCAAAACUGCUCAAAUGACAGUUCUGUGCUACAAUGCUACUUUUGAAAGGACCAAAGGAAUCAUCUUGUUUUGGAUUCAUAGCUCAUCCCACUAGAGAGAGAGAAUGAAGGCAAGGAGAAUGUAAGAACUCAGAAGGCAAGAAGAGAAGCUGGCAUUAGAAUGCGGUUGAACAAGAGAAAGAGUUGGAGAUGCUGAGUUCUGGAGGCAGAUCUACCUAAGCUAAAGGCCUGGAGUCUACCAGCAUUUGAGAGUUUAUGGUACAGUUUCACAUGUAUUCUUUCUUUUUUUUUUUGUUAGAGUAGUGGCGUC